GCGCCAGUGGUGUAAUGGCGUAGAACAUUCCGGCUCGGUCAGCAGGAGGUGCGGGUUCGAGUCCAGCCCGGCGCU
rnacentral:tRNA from 1 species